UACGAAGGGGGCUAGCGUUGCUCGGAAUCACUGGGCGUAAAGCGCACGUAGGCGGAUUGCUAAGUCAGGGGUGAAAUCCUGGAGCUCAACUCCAGAACUGCCUUUGAUACUGGCGACCUUGAGUCCGGGAGAGGUGAGUGGAACUGCGAGUGUAGAGGUGAAAUUCGUAGAUAUUAGGAAGAACACCAGUGGCGAAGGCGGCCCACUGGUCCGGUACUGACGCUGAGGUGCGAAAGCGUGGGGAGCAAACAGG
rnacentral:rRNA from 1 species